rnacentral:rRNA from 1 species
AGCGAACGCUGGCGGCAGGCCUAACACAUGCAAGUCGAACGGACCCUUCGGGGUUAGUGGCGGACGGGUGAGUAACACGUGGGAACGUGCCUUUAGGUUCGGAAUAGCUCCUGGAAACGGGUGGUAAUGCCGAAUGUGCCCUUCGGGGGAAAGAGUUAUCGCCUUUAGAGCGGCCCGCGUCUGAUUAGCUAGUUGGUGAGGUAACGGCUCACCAAGGCGACGAUCAGUAGCUGGUCUGAGAGGAUGACCAGCCAAACUGGGACUGAGACACGGCCCAGACUCGUACGGGAGGCAGCAGUGGGGAAUCUUGCGCAAUGGGCGAAAGCCUGACGCAGCCAUGCCGCGUGAAUGAUGAAGGUCUUAGGAUUGUAAAAUUCUUUCACCGGGGACGAUAAUGACGGUACCCGGAGAAGAAGCCCCGGCUAACUUCGUGCCAGCAGCCGCCGCCG